GACGAACGCUGGCGGCGUGCCUAAUACAUGCAAGUCGAACGCAGUGGGUACGGGUGAGGAACACGUGGGUAACCUCCCCAUCAGAGGGGAUAACACUUGGAAACAGGUGCUAAACCGAUACUGAUGGAUGGACCCUCGUGGCAUUAGAUAGUUGGGUAGGUAACGGCUCACCAAGGCCACGAUGAAUAGCGGACCUGAGAGUGUGAUCGGCCACACUGGGACUGAGACACGGCCCAGACUCCUACGGGAGGCAGCAGUAGGGAAUCUUCGGCAAUGGGCGAAAGUCUGACCGAGCAACGCCGCGUGAGUGAAGAAGGUUUUCGGAUCGUAAAACUCUGUUAUUAGAGAAGCGGUAUCUAACCAGAAAGCCACGGCUAACUACGUGCCAGCAGCCGCGGUAAUAC
rnacentral:rRNA from 1 species